rnacentral:lncRNA from 1 species
CUCCUGAUGCUGUAACUGAUGCUCAUCUAUUAAACUACUUAUUGGGAUUUGGGGGCGAAUGGCAUGGGUGGGGGGUGGGGUGGGAGGUGGAAUAUUUUCUCGUGGGUUUGAACCCACCCCCAGUGAAAAAUGGUAAUUUUCCGUCUAUUUUCCGAUUUCAAAACGACCUUGAGAGGUGAACACUGAUACGACUGUGUUUUUUUGUCAUUCAAGUAUUACCCUAUAGUUACAGUAGUCCAUUCAUGCUAGCUGGGAGUAUAUUGGACUUAAGUGUCUUGCUUGGGAAUUAUUAUUGUCAAGUCCGGUCUGCCUAAAUGUCCGUUUUUAUGGAUUUUUGACAAAACGGUGACCUAGAUUUUACAGACUAGAUUCCUAUUGGCCAUAUUAUACCUCGUUGUGUUCCUAUACCACCUAUGCAUGCAUAUAUGAUAAUAGUUUUUACCAACAGUCACUUCCAGUUACGUAGUGGCUAUCAAAAGAUGCCCACCCCCACCUGAUUUUGGCUACUUUUCAUGUUUUUCCGAUUUUGAACUCUUAAACGGCUUUCAAAGUGCCAUAUUUUCAUGAACAGACAUCUUAGAAGAGUUGAUGGACCAUGAACUGCUUGGUUGAAGUCCCUGCUAUCACGAC